rnacentral:lncRNA from 1 species
CAAGUCCCAGGUUGUCAUUUGUGCUUCUGACUGACCAACUAUAAAUCAGGGUUUCCAUGACCCCCUCCUUGGAUUGUAUUAAUUUGCUAGAGUGGCUCACAGAACUCGGGAAAACAAUUUCUUUACAUUUAUCUAUUCAUUGUAAAGGAUAUUACAAAGAAUACAGAUGACAGAUGAACAGCUAAAUGGAAACAAUACAUAGGGCAAGGCACUGGGCUGAGGUGAACCCUUCAAAUAAAAGAGGACAACCUACUAACAAAACAAUGAGGCAGAAGAAGUGGGUGCUAAGAGGAAAAGUAACUAAGAGGAGAAGUAACUAUUAGCAAUUACUUGUUGCCAGUAAAUGAAGGAUGAGAGACGGAGUAAUAAAGACUAUGGAAAUCAUGUUAGACAAAAUCAAAUUAGAGCAACUUUCUUAUUCAAGUUCAAAAUGGCCCAUAAAGUAGUGGAGACACCUCACAACAUCAACUAUGCAUUUGGCCCAGGAACUGCUAAUGAACAUACACUGUAGUGGUGGUUCAAGAAGUUUUGCAAAGGAGACGAGAGCCUUGAAGAUGAGGAGCAUAGUGGUUGGCCAUCAGAAGUCGACAAUGACCAAUUGGGAGCAAUCAUCGGAUGAUCCUUUUACAACAACACGAGAAGUUGCCAAAGAACUCAAUGUCAACCAUUGUAUAGUCAUUCGGCAUUUGAAGCAAAUUGGAAAGGUGAAAAAGCUUGGUAAGUGAGUGCCUCAUAAGCUGAGUGAAAAUCAAAAGAACUGUCAUUUUGAAGGGUCGUCUUCUCUUAGUCUAUACAACAACAAUAAACCAUUUCUUGAUUAGAUUGUCAUGUGUGAUGAAAAGUGGAUUUUAUAUGACAACUGAUGUUUGGACUGAGAAGAAGCUUCAAAGCACUUCCCAAAGCCAAACUUGCACCAAGGAAAGUUCAUGGUCACUGUUUGGUGAUCUGCUGCCAGUCUGAUCCAUUACAGCUUUCUGAAUCCCAGUGAAACCAUUACAUCUGAGAAGUAUGCUCAGCAAACUGAUGAGAUGCACCAAAAACUGUAACACCUGCAGCUGGCAUUGGCCAACAGAAUGGGCCCAAUUCUUCUCCAUGACAACACCCCACCGCAUGUUGCAUAACCAACAUGUCCUUGAAUGAAUUGGGCUGUGAAGUUUUGUCUCAUCUACCAUAUUUACCUGACCACUCACCAAAUGAUUACCACUUCUUCAAGCAUCUCAACCACUUUUUUGCAGGGAAAAUGCUCCCACAACCAGCAGGAUGCAGAAAACACACUUUCCCAGAGUUCAUCGAAUCCCAAAGCACAGAAUUUUAAGCUACAGGAAUAAACAAACUUAUUUCUUAUUGGGAAAAAUGUCUCGAUUGUAAUGGUUCCUACUUUGAUUAAUAAAGAUGUGUUUGAGCCUAGUUAUAAUAAUUUAAAAUUCACAAUAUAAAACCGCAAUUAUUUUUGCAUUAACCCAAGUCCACGUGGUUUGACUAUAGGAGAACUAGUCCAGCCUUGUAUGUUGGUCCCAGAUAUAUAAAAUAUUAUGUCUCUUCUAUAAUGCCAUACUUUGGAAAUGUUUUUUUCUAAAUAUGACAACACCAGGAUCUUUAAGGGAUCUAACCAGUUACUUGCCAGUGAUAGAGUGAGAUUGGUGAGUUCUAUUGGUGUAAACCAAUUGCUCCACUUCUUUGGCUGGAAAACAAAUUCAUUGUUCAGAAGCAGAAUGUACUGAUUAAAUAAGGAAUUCUACAGAGGUAGAUGCACUGAGUUCAGAGACUUCUAGAGAGGCAA